rnacentral:rRNA from 1 species
GUGGAUCCCUCGGCUUGUGGGUCGAUGAAGAACGCAGCUAAUUGCGCGUUGACAUGUGAAUUGCAGGACACAUGAACAUCGACAUUUCGAACGCACAUUGCGGCCCUAGGACUUGUUCCUGGGCCACACCUGACUGAGGGUCGGUUGACCAAACUCAACGACCAGACUGUCCGCGGGCUUUAAAACCCCGGACGAGAUUGGAGUCUCCGCGUCUUCGGGCGUGGUACCUCUUAAAUAAAGUGAGUGUGGGCUCGGCGUUCGCGUCGUCCCACCGAUAUCGCUGCACGGAAGGCAAUUGAGUGGGUUUUCACACGGUCUCACAACCGAGUAGGCUUGUCUCGUUCGCUUGGAUCUGAUGGCAACAUUGGUCCCGUGCGCUCGUUUUCGAUUUCGAUAAACGCGGCGCCGCGGACUAGUUUGCUUGAGCACAGUGGUCCCCUCGGGACAAAGAUCCAGGCGGGCGGCGCGUGCACGAGUCUCGAGGCUAUUGUGAAAUACUCUUUAUUCUGUGCAGUGAGCAGCGCUUCGUCUUCCAGGGCGAUUCGCUAUCACGACCUCAGUCAAGGGAAACUUACCCCCUGAAUUUAAGCAUAUUACUAAGGGGAGGAAAAGAAACUAAC